rnacentral:rRNA from 1 species
UGGGGAAUAUUGCACAAUGGAGGGAACUCUGAUGCAGCAACGCCGCGUGCGGGAUGACGGCCUUCGGGUUGUAAACCGCUUUCAGCCAUGACGAAGCUUUUGUGACGGUAGUGGUAGAAGAAGCACCGGCUAACUACGUGCCAGCAGCCGCGGUGAUACGUAGGGUGCGCGCGUUGUCCGGAAUUAUUGGGCGUAAAGAGCUUGUAGGCGGUUUGUCGCGUCGAUAGUGUAAACACGCAGCUUAACUGUGUGCCUGCUGUCGAUACGGGCUGACUAGAGGAGGGUAGGGGAGAAUGGAAUUCCCGGUGGAGCGGUGGAAUGCGCAGAUAUCGGGAGGAACACCAGUGGCGAAGGCGGUUCUCUGGACCUUUCCUGACGCUGAGAAGCGAAAGCGUGGGUAGCAAACAGG